AUUCCUCUCUUUCAGUGAUUUUUGGAUCUCUUUCCAAAAAGGCAGCAGGAACCUCUGUGUAACGUGGACUGUUUUACUGACAAGGGGAGAUCUGGUGUAUUUUGGGGUGCGAGGAAUGGUUUUCCCUUCUUGAAGGAGUAAAAGUGGCAGUGGUUAUCGAACUUAUUAUGCUGAAGCUCUACUUCUGAAAGGGGCUGCAUGGCAAUGCAGCGGGCUGUGAAAGUGCAGGUUGAGGAGAAGGUGUUCCAGAACGCUCUGGGCUCAGAUUCUGGGGUCUGCAGUGAGUAGCUGCAGCGCCAUGGCCUUGGAUGGGCCGUAGGCACAAACACUCCAUCCAUGCGGUGGUAGAUGAUGACAGUGGCUCAACGUGUGCUGGUGUCUUGUGGUUGCACAGCUCCCACACUGUGGGUUUUUUUCUGCGAAGCAGUGUUUUUGCACGCAAGGAAGGGGCCAUUUAAGAGUAGGGGAGAGAAUCCUUCUCUCUGUCUCGCCUUCUCACCUUUCCUAUUUCUCUUGUUCAUUAAUUCCUUGUAUUGUACUUCUCUGUACACAGUGAAACAGAACUGACUUUUCCUUUUGUUUCUAGCUGGCUUAUCUCUGCUUCUCAUGAAUUAGCACAAUACUGCAAUAUCUGUACUAUCAGUUCUGUUCUGCUUUCAAAAAAAAAAAAGAGCAGUAACAGACUUAAAAAAAAAAUACAGAAAACUGUCUGAGAGAGCACAUUUUUACAGGAGUGCUCUUCAUCACAGGUAUAGGUUAAGUGGAAAACAGAGAUGAAAAAGUGUUUUAAGUAUUUCUCAAAUCAAAAAUUUAGUUUCUCUAUUUUUAAUUGGUACUUCAGCAAAACUUUGCCAACAGCCUUAGCACCAGAUUUCCAAUUCCUUUUUCCAGUAACACCUUUACCAUGGAGCCUCAUUUAGCUCCAACUGUCGUUAUGGAGCAAUAUGAAUUUCAGACUUCCAGUGUUUGCUUUUAAAACCCAUUGCUGCUAACACAGAUGGCACCCACGUGACAUAAUAAUUUUAUAUACAGUUUAAUAAACAGAGGACUGCUGUUUUGUGGUUUCUCCUGCGCAUCCAGCUCAAGUUCAGACAAAAGAAGACGAAAGCUUUAUGGCAAAGCCUCAGUGAAAGUGAAGCUCUGCCAGCUCUCAGUCUGUCUAGACUGAAGGACAAUGCUUGUGGAGCUAGCACAAAAUCUUGCUUGUCUCCAGCCUGGAGUGCAAAAGCAUUGCAAGCUCACAUAGGCACAUCAUCUCUGAGCUGUCAGUGCUUUGGUGCCAGGCCUGCCUUGCUGCUGGGCUUCAUGCUUUACUGCUCUUGUUCAGCCGGUCCCCAAGGACUCUGCCCUCCUGUGGAGAAAAUGGGAAGAAAAGAUGUUUGGGAGAGUGAGUCCUGAAGAGACAGUGGUGACGGCUUGCCACUGCCGCACACUCUUCUUUGCUGCCACUGAUGGCUAAUUAGCAAAUCCUGUCUGCAAUUUGUCUGUUAGCUCUCUUAGCUUCCUUACUGUUGCAGUCUUUCAGUGUAUGCCGUUCCUCGUGUUGCGUCCACACUGCCAUCCCAAAAUGAGCAAGAAGAGCUGAGCUCAUCUCCUUGUCUUCCCUUGUACUUUUCACAACAAUGCUUUGUACCUCUGUUUGCAUGCUGCAUUCUCUAGGAGGGAGGUUUGCCAUUCAAAAACAUUUGCUUCCUGAGCUAGCAAAAAGAGGAUGAUUAUAAAACUUCAAGUACCUCUGAUGCUCAUGCAGUACAGAAGAGGCUGGGUUCUUUUUUAAUUAAUGAGUCUGGCCCCUCCUUUUAAAAGAUGAUUCUUUGUAUGGUGAGGGAUUUGUUCCAGCUCAACAUAUUUCUCAUCAAAUGUGGAUGAGCCGCACACCUUCAGGAGAAUAGAGCGUCUUUUGAUACAAGGAUCUUUGUGAUGCCAGCAGAGGAAUGCUCUUAGUGUUACUGUACCUAUUAUAUGAGCUGUUGACUCCAGAGCCAUCUUAAUGCUUUGUUUCAUAUUUCACUGAAGGCCAAUUUCUGUUCACUUGAGGAAAGAAAAUGCCAUGCCUUGCUUCAAACUGAUUAAAACUUCAAAACAGACCACAUAUGUUAAGGUUGUGUUGAACAGAAUGAAGAAUAAAGCUAUCUCCAGGAUAACUUUUUAAAAUGAUGUGCAAUGUUGUUGAUUUACACAUUUAGUUGGGAGGGAGUUACUGGAGUGUGCAAAUGCUAUUGUAACCGAUGGGCAGCAGUAAUCAAGCACUGAAGGGCUUUCUCCCCUGGAGAUUUAUUUCUGGCGGCUUUUCUGUGUUUUAAAGAAAGACUGUCUGACAACAAAGAGCCUAC
rnacentral:lncRNA from 7 species